rnacentral:rRNA from 1 species
GAUGAACGCUGGCGGCGUGCCUAAUACAUGCCAGUCGAGCGAACAGAUAAGGAGCUUGCUCCUUUGAAGUUAGCGGCGGACGGGUGAGUAACACGUGGGUAACCUACCUAUAAGACUGGGAUAACUUCGGGAAACCGGAGCUAAUACCGGAUAACAUUUAGAACCGCAUGGUUCUAAAGUGAAAGAUGGUUUUGCUAUCACUUAUAGAUGGACCCGCGCCGUAUUAGCUAGUUGGUAAGGUAACGGCUUACCAAGGCGACGAUACGUAGCCGACCUGAGAGGGUGAUCGGCCACACUGGAACUGAGACACGGUCCAGACUCCUACGGGAGGCAGCAGUAGGGAAUCUUCCGCAAUGGGCGAAAGCCUGACGGAGCAACGCCGCGUGAGUGAUGAAGGGUUUCGGCUCGUAAAACUCUGUUAUUAGGGAAGAACAAAUGUGUAAGUAACUGUGCACAUCUUGACGGUACCUAAUCAGAAAGCCACGGCUAACUACGUG